GGUUAAGCGACUAAGCGUACACGGUGGAUGCCCUGGCAGUCAGAGGCGAUGAAGGACGUGCUAAUCUGCGAUAAGCGUCGGUAAGGUGAUAUGAACCGUUAUAACCGGCGAUUUCCGAAUGGGGAAACCCAGUGUGUUUCGACACACUAUCAUUAACUGAAUCCAUAGGUUAAUGAGGCGAACCGGGGGAACUGAAACAUCUAAGUACCCCGAGGAAAAGAAAUCAACCGAGAUUCCCCCAGUAGCGGCGAGCGAACGGGGAGGAGCCCAGAGCCUGAAUCAGUGUGUGUGUUAGUGGAAGCGUCUGGAAAGGCGCGCGAUACAGGGUGACAGCCCCGUACACAAAAAUGCACAUACUGUGAGCUCGAUGAGUAGGGCGGGACACGUGGUAUCCUGUCUGAAUAUGGGGGGACCAUCCUCCAAGGCUAAAUACUCCUGACUGACCGAUAGUGAACCAGUACCGUGAGGGAAAGGCGAAAAGAACCCCGGCGAGGGGAGUGAAAAAGAACCUGAAACCGUGUACGUACAAGCAGUGGGAGCCUCUUUUAUGGGGUGACUGCGUACCUUUUGUAUAAUGGGUCAGCGACUUAUAUUCUGUAGCAAGGUUAACCGAAUAGGGGAGCCGAAGGGAAACCGAGUCUUAACUGGGCGUUAAGUUGCAGGGUAUAGACCCGAAACCCGGUGAUCUAGCCAUGGGCAGGUUGAAGGUUGGGUAACACUAACUGGAGGACCGAACCGACUAAUGUUGAAAAAUUAGCGGAUGACUUGUGGCUGGGGGUGAAAGGCCAAUCAAACCGGGAGAUAGCUGGUUCUCCCCGAAAGCUAUUUAGGUAGCGCCUCGUGAAUUCAUCUCCGGGGGUAGAGCACUGUUUCGGCAAGGGGGUCAUCCCGACUUACCAACCCGAUGCAAACUGCGAAUACCGGAGAAUGUUAUCACGGGAGACACACGGCGGGUGCUAACGUCCGUCGUGAAGAGGGAAACAACCCAGACCGCCAGCUAAGGUCCCAAAGUCAUGGUUAAGUGGGAAACGAUGUGGGAAGGCCCAGACAGCCAGGAUGUUGGCUUAGAAGCAGCCAUCAUUUAAAGAAAGCGUAAUAGCUCACUGGUCGAGUCGGCCUGCGCGGAAGAUGUAACGGGGCUAAACCAUGCACCGAAGCUGCGGCAGCGACACUAUGUGUUGUUGGGUAGGGGAGCGUUCUGUAAGCCUGUGAAGGUGUACUGUGAGGUAUGCUGGAGGUAUCAGAAGUGCGAAUGCUGACAUAAGUAACGAUAAAGCGGGUGAAAAGCCCGCUCGCCGGAAGACCAAGGGUUCCUGUCCAACGUUAAUCGGGGCAGGGUGAGUCGACCCCUAAGGCGAGGCCGAAAGGCGUAGUCGAUGGGAAACAGGUUAAUAUUCCUGUACUUGGUGUUACUGCGAAGGGGGGACGGAGAAGGCUAUGUUGGCCGGGCGACGGUUGUCCCGGUUUAAGCGUGUAGGCUGGUUUUCCAGGCAAAUCCGGAAAAUCAAGGCUGAGGCGUGAUGACGAGGCACUACGGUGCUGAAGCAACAAAUGCCCUGCUUCCAGGAAAAGCCUCUAAGCAUCAGGUAACAUCAAAUCGUACCCCAAACCGACACAGGUGGUCAGGUAGAGAAUACCAAGGCGCUUGAGAGAACUCGGGUGAAGGAACUAGGCAAAAUGGUGCCGUAACUUCGGGAGAAGGCACGCUGAUAUGUAGGUGAAGCGACUUGCUCGUGGAGCUGAAAUCAGUCGAAGAUACCAGCUGGCUGCAACUGUUUAUUAAAAACACAGCACUGUGCAAACACGAAAGUGGACGUAUACGGUGUGACGCCUGCCCGGUGCCGGAAGGUUAAUUGAUGGGGUCAGCGCAAGCGAAGCUCUUGAUCGAAGCCCCGGUAAACGGCGGCCGUAACUAUAACGGUCCUAAGGUAGCGAAAUUCCUUGUCGGGUAAGUUCCGACCUGCACGAAUGGCGUAAUGAUGGCCAGGCUGUCUCCACCCGAGACUCAGUGAAAUUGAACUCGCUGUGAAGAUGCAGUGUACCCGCGGCAAGACGGAAAGACCCCGUGAACCUUUACUAUAGCUUGACACUGAACAUUGAGCCUUGAUGUGUAGGAUAGGUGGGAGGCUUAGAAGUGUGGACGCCAGUCUGCAUGGAGCCGACCUUGAAAUACCACCCUUUAAUGUUUGAUGUUCUAACGUUGACCCGUGAUCCGGGUUGCGGACAGUGUCUGGUGGGUAGUUUGACUGGGGCGGUCUCCUCCUAAAGAGUAACGGAGGAGCACGAAGGUUGGCUAAUCCUGGUCGGACAUCAGGAGGUUAGUGCAAUGGCAUAAGCCAGCUUGACUGCGAGCGUGACGGCGCGAGCAGGUGCGAAAGCAGGUCAUAGUGAUCCGGUGGUUCUGAAUGGAAGGGCCAUCGCUCAACGGAUAAAAGGUACUCCGGGGAUAACAGGCUGAUACCGCCCAAGAGUUCAUAUCGACGGCGGUGUUUGGCACCUCGAUGUCGGCUCAUCACAUCCUGGGGCUGAAGUAGGUCCCAAGGGUAUGGCUGUUCGCCAUUUAAAGUGGUACGCGAGCUGGGUUUAGAACGUCGUGAGACAGUUCGGUCCCUAUCUGCCGUGGGCGCUGGAGAACUGAGGGGGGCUGCUCCUAGUACGAGAGGACCGGAGUGGACGCAUCACUGGUGUUCGGGUUGUCAUGCCAAUGGCACUGCCCGGUAGCUAAAUGCGGAAGAGAUAAGUGCUGAAAGCAUCUAAGCACGAAACUUGCCCCGAGAUGAGUUCUCCCUGACCCUUUAAGGGUCCUGAAGGAACGUUGAAGACGACGACGUUGAUAGGCCGGGUGUGUAAGCGCAGCGAUGCGUUGAGCUAACCGGUACUAAUGAACCGUGAGGCUUAACCUU
rnacentral:rRNA from 1 species